rnacentral:rRNA from 1 species
AACGAACGCUGGCGGCAGGCUUAACACAUGCAAGUCGAACGCCCCGCAAGGGGAGUGGCAGACGGGUGAGUAACGCGUGGGAACGUACCUUUCGCUUCGGAAUAUUCCCGGGAAACUGGGAGCAAUGCCGAAUACGCCGUAUUGGGAAAGAUUUAUCGGCGAAAGAUCGGCCCGCGUUAGAUUAGGUAGUUGGCGGUGUAAUGGACCACCAAGCCUACGAUCUAUAGCUGGUCUGAGAGGAUGAUCAGCCACACUGGGACUGAGACACGGCCCAGACUCCUACGGGAGGCAGCAGUGGGGAAUCUUGGACAAUGGGCGCAAGCCUGAUCCAGCCAUGCCGCGUGAGUGAAGAAGGCCUUAGGGUUGUAAAACUCUUUCGCCGGAGAAGAUAAUGACGGUAUCCGGAGAAGAAGCCCCGGCUAACUUCGUG